CUCUGCAGACCAGACUGAGCACUGAUUGGCUGGUGAGCACCCAGGUAAAAAGGUCCCUGUGGGGUCACGAUGUUCUGAUGAGUUAAAGAGCUUAUCUCAUCGGUCACCUGACUUGACAAGGCAAAGAGGCUGAAGAGGAUCUGGUCAGAGAGAUUAUAAAAUCAGCGAUGAGCGAGCAGGCUUCAGGAUUUCUUCACUAGUAAACGGCUUAACGCAGCCUCAGCGAUACUUUGGAGAUUCUUUUAAGUUUGCAUGAGCACCUGGUGAGGCUCUUUGGUCUGUUUCUCAAACCAUAUGACUGUUAACAUAUGUGAGUCUGGAAGCCUAAGAAAGACUGAAAUUAAAAUCAAGUUUAUCAGGAAGACAAGGUCUCCUGUAAAGCUGCUUGUGACCCGACUAAGGCCCGGCCACCAGACACUCGCCCUCGGGCACCCUCCCCAGGCCUGGCUCCAGGGCAGGGCCCCGGUAACCCUAUCCCGGGCAGGGUAAAUGUUCCCUCGAUGUUCUCUUCAUAUGGGUCUUCUGAAUCGCUCUUUGUCUGGUCCCUCACCCAGGACCAAUUUGCCAUGGGAGACCCUACCAGGGGGCAAAAGCCCCCAGACAACAUAUCCCCUGGGAUCCCUGGGACACA